UGUUUAGUUUUAGUUUCUCGGUAACACCGUCCAGUCUCGAGUGUCUACUUGUACUAAAAAAUGUACGUUAUUGUGAACUGUUUCAUAAGAAAUUGCGGUUUCGUGAUUUUACGUUAGAAGCGAUUACUUGUCGAUUACCAUCGAUUAUCAAAUUUUGUGAAAAUCUUUGGAACACCAAAAGUUUUCAAGCAAACAUGUCAACUACGCUCUCCCUGGGAUCCAGCAUUCUUCUUCUACUUGCAAUCUCUGUAUGUGCUGAAGAUGCAGAAGAUCAGGACAAAUAUUUGAAAUUCCCGCCCAACUUCCUCUUUGGAGCUGCGACAGCUUCAUAUCAAAUAGAAGGUGCCUGGAAUGUGAGCGAUAAAGGAGAAAGUACUUGGGAUCGAUUCGUUCAUGAUGGUAGAGGCCGCGUUUACAACAACGACACGGGAGAUAUUGCUGCAAACUCUUAUUAUCAAUACAAGGAGGAUAUUGCUAUUCUGAAGAAGCUUGGGUUCAAUUCGUACCGUUUCUCCGUGAGCUGGACACGAAUCCUGCCGACGGGUUUCCCGAACAAAAUCAGCAAGGAUGGCGUCCAGUACUACCAUGAUGUGAUCAACGAGCUCAUAGCAAACAACAUCGAACCAUUAUUGACAAUUUGCCAUUGGGACCAUCCGCAAGUUUUAGAAGAAAUGGGAGGCUGGUUGAACGAUGAAAUGGUCGACUGGUUCGGCGAUUACGCGAGAGUCGUAUUCCGCGAAUAUGGAUCGAAAGUGAAGAAAUUCAUUCCGAUAAACGAGCCCAUCGCUCUUUGUAAAAAUGGCUACAGCCUUGGUAUACACGCUCCUGGUAAAACUCUACAUGGAUUCGGCGAGUACUUGUGCAUGCAUAACGUGUUGAAAUCGCACGCCAGAGCCUAUAGGAUCUACGAGAGUGAAUUUAAGAAGAACUAUGGGGGACAAGUUGGUGUUCUGAUCAAUUUAAGCGCCUAUAUGCCGAAAAAUCCUGAGUCUGCCGAUGCUGCGGAAACGUCUUUUCAAUUCAACGUUGGUUGGAGCAUGCACCCGAUAUACUCCAAGGAGGGCGAUUAUCCACUUAUGAUGAAAGAAUUGGUGGCCAACAAGAGCGCAGAGCAAGGUUACAUGAAAUCUCGUCUACCCACGUUCGAUGCAGAGUGGAUCAAAUAUAUAAAUGGAGCCUCAGACUUUAUGGCUGUAAAUCAUUACACAUCCAGGCUAGUUGCAACUGGUACUAUGGGACGUGUACCAUCCCAAGAAGAUGACCAAGGAGUGAUAGAGACUAUCGAUAGUUUCUGGAAAUCGUCAGCUACUGACUGGUUGAAGGUUGUACCUGAAGGUUUCCGAUAUGUCCUCCGUCAGUUGGCGACAAAUUACGGCAACCCACCAAUGUAUAUCACUGAAAACGGUGUUUCCGAUCACGGAACACUCAACGACGACGACAGAAUCUUCUACUAUCGCGAAUACUUAAGACAGAUGCUUCUCGCCAUUCACGUUGAUGGUGUGAACGUAAAAGGAUAUAUGUUAUGGUCGCUUCUGGAUAAUUUCGAAUGGGACAGGGGAUACAGCGAACAUUUUGGUAUAGUCUCUGUCGACUUCAAAGAUCCAAAGAGACCACGAAUAUUGAAGAAGUCUGCUUCCUGGUGGCAAAAUGUUAUAACCGCUGGAAAAAUUGAUAGGAGCUGUUAAAAUCUCUCUGCUCACCUUAAAUCAUAUACGAUUUAUAUUCGGAACUCGAAGAAAAUGAUGGAUCGUGGCACUCGGUUAAAUGGAGAACACUCCUGCGGUCGCAGGAAGGGUGUAUCAUAAUUUAAGACCUGUUCGCGGCGGUGAUGCUGGUUCGCUGAGUAGGUGUUACGAUUGAUGGUUGUUGGGAGUUUGAACAUGUUUUCUACGGUGAAGUUUUGUGGAGAAGGGACCUUAAGGACAAAAAACAGGGCGUUACAAGUUCAAAAGCAUCUCUUUGUAUAAAUAAAAUUUUGUUAAAAAAAUUAUUUUAUAUAUAUAGUUAUAUAGUUAUGUAGAUAAUGUAGUACAUAAAUCAAGAAAACCAUUAUCACGCCGCAAGUGAUAAGUAUAAUACAACACGCAUUUCGUGUAACCGUAUCAUGCCACGAGCUUUUAGCAGAGACAGCCGUAACGAAAGACUUUAAGCACCAACCCCGCCUUCCUCGGUUUCUUCUCUUUCUACUCUUUCGUUGUUACGUUGCUCAUAAAAGUUCUCUGCGCUCUUAUGUAAUGUGUAAUGCUUCCUAAUAACGACCUUAUAUCUACAACUUUUACAACGACUUAUACAACGAUCAUUUUUCUUAUAACAACGGAGAAUCUAAAGAAAAAAGCACAAUAAGUUGACGACUGUCGAAUAUAAAUCGUUCUGGAGCAUCCAAAAAAUUUAAUUUGCCUGCUCUAUGUAGCUCUAUAAAACGUAGACGAAGAACAUAAAAACGAGACACUCGGUUGAAGGUGAAUAGAGUUUCUAAUACAAAGAAGCCUUGUAAUAUCGUCGUCGUGAAAUAGCAAAAAUAUUUUUCGUGGAAAAACACACGGGAGUCUCGCGGCUCUGUAAUAACCUUUCACCCGUGACACACAGAUGAAGAAAAUAACGAAAUUUUCAAACUCGAUGAUGUCAACGAUUGGUUUCGCUACGUUAACGAGAUUUAUGCAGUCGACGCGUCGGUCUCGUCGCAUCAGCGGAUCUGUCAUUAAAAACGGAUUACGAGCCGAUUAUUUUCGUGAAAACGUCCAGCUUUUUAUUUCGGCUAAUCGUAAAUGCCUCGUAAGUGGAUGUGAAAAAAGACCAAUUAAGCAUCGUUUUUCAUUGCUCGAUUUUCGUAAUGUAUUAUCGUCGGAGGAUGUUAAUCUGUCAAUUAUUUCGAACAAUGUACAAACUAAAUUCCAACGCAUGUUGGAUAAAAAUGACUUCCUCUACACUAAAGAUAACUGAACUCGGAACAGAAAAUUGUUCGCCAUUCUCCCUCAAGCUCGUUUCCUUCUCUUCUGCGAGAUUUGUUUUUUUUCGCUAGUCUUUGAACUUUCGUUUCAGUGCGUUCACCGGAAAUGCAAUCGGCAGAAAUAACAAACACUUGGUAUUCCACAGAGCUCGUGUUUGCAUAUUCGUUUGUUUCGUGACAAAGGCUUGAAUCCGGUGUUCAAGGCAGAAUCAUCAGCGUCGCUUUUGCGCUUUGAAAGUAUUGAAUUUUUUACUACGUUCGUCGUUCACUGGAGUCUCUACGUUCACGUAGCUCUCUAGUCACGCCACGAAAGAUUUCUAAAUAAAAUUCACGCGUAACAGCAUCUGGGAAACGCGAAGACAUUAGGAGGAACGAGUUAACGGUAACGUCGGAAAGACUAGAACGAGAAGAAUGGAGUCGCGACAAGACCAUCGAUCGCGGUUUUCGCGUGAAUUUUAAUGAAAAUCAAACUCGAAGAACACUCGAAUAGGAGAAUGGGAGAAGGCAGGCGCUCGAUGAUCGCUUUUGUUCCAAACCCUGAAAUCCUAUUUGAGUACGAUCUCCUUAAUCCGGAAUCUCUCGAAAGAGAUUACAGGGAUAAUUUUGCCGAAUCGAUCUUAAUCAGCUUUUCGUCUGCCUACAAACCGAUGUCGAGAAACUCGACGAACCGUCUAGCUCCAUUGGUGUCUGUGUCAAGAGCUAGACACGCUUCUAGUAAAACGUUCCAUUUCGUCGGUGGUUUCGCACGCGCGAGAUCGUUCCUCCAACUUCCAUUCCCUCUCUCAGGUACCAUCUCUCGAGCUCUCUCAUUUCAGCAGCGAUAGAAACGAAUCGGAGUUCGUGGAACGAGGUUACACGGGUAAAAACAGUUCGAGUCAAUUCCCGAUCGUGAAACUUUCUCGAUUCCCCGCGAUUCAGCCUGCUGUUUAACGAUGGAGAAGCGUAACGAUAAGUUGAAAAGUCGGAUCGCGUCCAUGGCGCGCACUGCUGCGCCGAUGGCAGCUAAUUGUAUACUAUGGUCAUUGAUUCUUGGCUAUAUUGGAACGAGAGCCAUCAAUUGGUCCAAUAUUAUAAAAGAUAUACGUAAAAGAGAAUUAUGGAGAAUAUGGAAUGUGAUAAAUUGACUGUUUGGAUGAUUCGAUAUGCACAUACAACCGAAUCUCGAUAUCUCCCAUCUUAUCUUCAACGUAUUUUAUAUGCGUUAUUUUACCUGUACAAGUCCCAGUCACAAAGAAGCCCAAUUUCGGCAAGAAUUUUCCUUUAUAAGACGAAGUUUGAUCACUACUACUAUAACGUCUACGAAUCUAAAAAUAUAAAUGCUUUUACAGAGUCUCUUCGAGUCAUUGGAUUUUGUUUUGUAUUAUCGUUGCUGAUUUGUAACUAAUAAAAAUCUGAAUAGCGAUUAUUUCAUUCAUCACGUUCCUUACAGAGACAGCACGCAUACUUGCAAAAAGUAUGGUAAAAUCGCGUUUCCUUCGUAUCUUUUUCGUGGCAAGCAGCUCUUGAAUUUUCAUGAAAACUCAACCAGAUUUUCAAACGCCUUUGGUCUUUCAUCUUUGUAAUCUACAUUCCUCUCGAAAUACAUAAGAUAUUAUACAAAAGCAAAAUUCCUUGAUCGUGGAAUGAUAAUGGUUUUAUAUUACCACAUUCGCUGAAUUCAGUGAUAAGUAUAAAUGAAGGAGAAGUAAGCUUCGUUUUCCACCCUAUCCUCUCUACUUUUCAUAGUCAUUCCAAUCCAUUAAUUCAUCUUGUAGAAUUUUAUGAAUUUUUAAUAUUGUCAUUAUGAAAGGAGAUCUCAAGGAUUUGUUUAAUAUUUUUGUCCUUCCUCCACUUAUCAGGUUGUCCGAAAUGUUUCUUUCGUUUUAUAAGGAAAUAAUAGACGCACAAUGUUUUUUGUUUUAUAUUACUUUAUUGAAUUAUGCACGAACAUAGUAAUAGAAAUAUAACGAAAUGGAUCAUACCUAAUUCAAUAAAAUAAUAUAAAACAGAAAUUGUUGUUCAUCUAUUAUCGCCUUAUGAAACGAAAGAAACUUUUCGGACAACCUGAUAUCAUCUACAAUGUACAAUAUUAAAGUUCGAAGAAUUUCAGGUAUCAUGUAUAUAUAUAUUUCAAUAUUAUAAUAGUAGUUUUGUCCCAAUUAUAGAAUCUUUCCUCUAUAUUUCUGACUUGUGUAGUCACACGAAGGAAAUAUGUAAAAUAUAAUCGACGAACUUUUCCAUGUGUUUUAUUUUUGAAAUCAUUACAUCUUAUGUAACGUUUUACAUCAUUUUACAACCAUAAUACGUUUAGUUACUCUAAUCAGUUUAAUACUGUUAGUCCUAAUAAUACAUUUUCUUCAUUUCGAUAAAAUAAUACUUGUUAUAUUACUUCGUACUACUGUAAAAGCAUUUGAAUCGAAAACCUUCGAUUCAUCGUGAUAAUCCUGUGCCUCUUUCAAAUCCACGUUCAACCACUGUUACUGUGUUGUCUAUGCUACCAAAAACGAGGUACGGGCGAGAUUGUUUCUGAAACCAACUCAAUUCUGCGUUUCGACGAACCGUCGAUUCCCUUCGUUCACGGUAGACGGGCUGAUCGAGAUUAAUCGCAUUCCGCCGGUCAGGGUGGCCGACCCUUCUCUGAUUGACGACAGCGAUUAAUGCAGGUCGUCAGGUUGUGCUCAGGGUAAACUGGCGUGUCCUCGAUGUGGACGCGUCCACGAGGAAGCACGUGAUGUUUGCAUGCGAGAAGCACGUUCACUCGCGUCCUCAUUAACGGCCAGAUGGCUGUUGACGCAUCGUUCGCGCAUCGUCGAGCAUGUCCAGUUUCACGCUCUUUUGGCUCGUCGAAUUUCUAUCGACACAUGCCGUUAAGACGUCUGUCCAUUUCAGAGAAAAAUUACCGCAAAUGCUCUGUAGAGUCGCUAACCGGUCUGUCGCGGAAUUCUAAUGAUUAUUUCACGUUUGUCAUGAUAUGAAGAAGAUUAGAAGUCGUUGCUUCAGAAUGUUUCUCGCGAGUGGACGUUGCGUCUGUAACCGACUAACCAAAGAUACACAAGCUCACGGACGAACAUACGAAACGUAGUUUCGUUUCCAAGGGGUUCGACAGGCGGAGGAAUGGGCGGUGAAUAAUUCAUCAAAUACCAACUACACUUUUAGGGAAUAACUCGGUUUACCACGCGUCAUCGUGGCUCGUUUUCUCCCUUUUCCUCUUUUUUUUCCUUUUUUUUCCCGUCCACGAAUUCAUAGUUCGUUAGCGUCUGGUCAAACAGAGCACAGACACGCGGCCAGCAUUUGUUUCGAGCAACGAGUUCAGAGGUCGGAAAAUGUAUGAGAUCGAUGGAUUACACGAUGGUGGUUCUGAUAGUGACAAUCGGAGGUGAGCUUAAUAAACGUUUUGGACGAGAACAUUUGUUUAAAGGAA